ACAGAGGUCCCAAGCGUUGUUCGGAUUCACUGGGCGUAAAGGGCGCGUAGGUGGCCUGAUAAGGGUGUGGUGAAAGUCCGGGGCUCGACCCCGGAUCUGCCGUGCCGACUGUUAGGCUAGAGUACUGUAGGGGCAGGCGGAAUUCCGGGUGUAGCGGUGGAAUGCGUAGAGAUCCGGAGGAAGACCGGUGGCGAAGGCGGCCUGCUGGGCAGUUACUGACACUGAGGCGCGACAGCGUGGGGAGCAAACAGGA
rnacentral:rRNA from 1 species